rnacentral:sRNA from 1 species
GUAAGGCAUUGCCCUUUCUGAUAGUUCUGAUGUUCAGUUGGAAAUCUCUGUUGAGAGCAGAAGAAAUCUCAAUUGGGAAGAGAAGGGGACGUUAUGAUGGAAGACGUUGGACAGAAUCCACUGGCUGAUGUGUAAGUAUGGGAAUAAUAAAAGAGUUCAGUAGAGGAAGCUCCACCGGAAGAGUCUCCAGCAAUCCAGUACCAGACGAUAGAAUUACCAGCACUAGAAGCCGUAAAACAGAACCUCGAUUGCCUGAAUUCAGACCUUGAAAAGGACCUGCAGAAACUGGAUAUGGAGAAUCAGGUUCUCCUUAGAAAGAUUAAAGAGAAAGAAGAAACUAUUCCAAGCCUGGAAAGAGAGCUGGCCUUGUCACUAGAAGAAGCCAAAGAGGAGGAGGAGUUGAACUAUAUCAUAGAUGAACAGGAGGAAUCCCUGAGGCAGCUGGAAUUAGAGACAG